GGGGUAUUUAAUUUAAUCUCUCUUUUUUAAUUUUCAUCAAUCCAAUUAUCUGUGGCAAGGUGAAUGCGCAUUACAGAUGAAGGAUAUAAUGGAUUUGAAACGACUUUCGAGCACUAUGGAGAAGGCUGGAUGAGCGGCUGCGAGAGGCUGCAGAAGGCGCUAUGCGAGUGUCAUAAGCGUGUUGGAUCAUCUUCUCGGACGCGAGAGUCGGCUUGUCGGCAUCUGAACCGUGCGCUGGCUCAGUGCUUGGUAGCGGAAGUGUGCCCGGAGGAGUCGGAGGCGGUGCAAAGCUUGUGUGCCAGCGGUGGAACCGCACUCAAACGAUCCCAGUGCCAACAAGCUCAGCUUUCUCUCUCUUUCUGCCUCUCUUCUCAUACCUCCCCAAAUGUUCUAUGGCACAAAGAAAAGCUUGGGGCUUGGGUGGAUCCAUAAAAUUCAAAGGAUACAAAGUCAUUUAUUCUGGUAGCUUGCAGUAUAAGAGUAGUGGAUAUACGAUUACUUCAUUUGAUUUCAGAUGCAGAAAGACUAAGUGCAACUCAAUGUACGAAGUUGAGAGAAAAGCGAAAGGGGAUGCCAAAACACUAUCUCUAAUUUAGCAAGCACUAGAUGAAGUAAUUUUCCCACUAGUUAUGAUUACCACUACAUCAAAGGAAACGAGGAAAGUAUCAAGGCACUAGCAAAGUUGUUAUAGUGAUGCUGCAAACCAUGCAAAAAACUGUUAAUGAGCAAGGAGAAUCAGUUCAAGUAUUCUUUUCAGGAGCAUACUCAGUUGUGAACCAAAUUAGAUCCUUUGGUGAAGAAUUAAUGGACUACAAGGUUGUUGAGAGAGCUUUGCGAAGCCUUCCCUCUAAAUUUGAUCAUGUUGUUGCGACGAUCGAAGAAUCAAAUGAUCUAACCAAGUAGUCUCUUCAAUAGUUGAUGUGGUUACUUCAAAUGCAUGAACAAUUGAUGAACAGGACAUCAGAAACUACUUUUCAACAAGCAUUUCAAUCAAAGUUUGAAUUGAAAAAUUUUUGAUGAUUCAAAUCAAGGGAGCUCUAGUCGAGGAUGUGGCUGAUCAUCUCAUGGAAGAGGAAGAGGUACUAUAAUUCCGUUUCUUGCUCACAUUGUGAAAGAUCAAAUCAUGAAGGAAAAAUUGUUGGUAUAUGGAGAAAAAUGGUCAAAACAAAAAUAUUCCACAAUGUUAUUAUUGUAAGAAGUAUAACCACUUUGAGAAAAAAAAGUCUUAAAAAAGGUUGUUAAGCAUGAAAACUCGCAAGAAGAAAGGGAUGUUCAUGAAGAAAAUUUACUUUUUGCUUGCUUAUUUAGUCGUGAUGACAAGUUUAAUGAUGUUUGGUAAUCAUAAGAGUGGCAACAAAUCACUUUUUCUGGAGCUUGAUGAGUCGGUGAAAACCCAAGUAAGGAUGGGAAACAAUACUUGUGCUCUGGUAUGUGGAAAGGAUACAAUUUCUAUAAUGACAAAAUUAGGUGAGAAGUAUUUGCAUAAUGUAAUGCAUGUUCUAGGUUAGCACAAAAUUUGGUUAGUGUCGGUUAAUUGAUGAAGAAGGGGUAUUAUGCUGUGUUUGACUAUAAUGAGUCUAUUAUUUAUGAAAAAAAGAACAUAAGUUAAUUUACACUAUUUAGAUGAUAGAAGAUAACAUAUUCCCACUUGUAUUUUCGAAAGUUUCUAUAAAUGUCUUUAACGUAGUUAGCAAUGUUUCCUUGCUUUGGCAUCAAAGAUUUGGUCACUUCAAUUUUGAUGGGCUAAAUUUGUUGUGUAAAAGAAUAUGGUGGAUGGGGAUUCAAUGGUCAUAAUAGAAAAACAAUAAUGUGAAGCUUGCAUUUUUGGAAAGCAUCACCAAGAUUCCCUCAAGGUGGAUCAUGGAAAGCUUCAAAACCUUUGAUGUUGGUGCAUUAUAAUGUUUUCGAACCAAUGCAAACACUCUUCUUAAGUGGAAGUAAGUACUUCAUGAUUUUUGUUGAUGAUUUUUCAAAGACAACUUGGUCUUUUUUUUUUAAGCAGAAAUCCAAAGUCCUUGAAUGUUUCAAGUAAUUCAAGGUUACGGAUGAGAAACAGAGUGGCUGCAAAAUUUUGACACUUAACAUUUUUGCGGUGGUGAAUUUUCUUUCACAGAAUUUAACAAUUUUCACAACAACGAUGACAUCAAAAGGCAACUUACAACAAACUAUACUCUCCAAUAAAAUGGAGUCACUCAACAUAAAAGUAGAACGAUGGUUGAAACAACCAAGAGUAUGUUAUAAGGUAAAGCUCUUCCAACGAAAUUUUGGGCUAAAGUUAUUAGAGUUAUUGUUUAUCUUCUCAAUAGAUUUCCAACUUAAAGUCGUUAAAACGAUGACUCCUUGUAAAGCUUGGCAUAGUUGUAAACCCAAUGUUAGUCAUUUAAAAACAUUCGGCUGUAUUGCCUAUGCAUCACAUUAUAGGCAAUAUAUCACAUGAAUAUAUAAGAAAAUAACCAAACAUAGUUCAAAAUGGUUAUACCAACAUUUGAACGCUCCACCAAUCUUUACGUUGCAAAGAUCACACUCAUAAUGGAGGGCAGAAAACGUUCACAAUGGUCUGCUAGGACGUGUGAACAGGCGGGAAUGUAAAAGGCACAAACAUUCGUAAUGUAUUUUCGUUAAAGGGAAUGAAGAAAAACUGUGAUCAUGCAUCUCCUUUUAUAGAAUUUGCGAUGAUUGGUCAUUCACCUGGAACAAACAGUUGUUCCACUUUUUAUCUUAUCUCAUCCAAAAUCUGCGAAAUUCUAAAAAUCAUGUUGCACACAUGAAUAAGAUUUCAAGUAAAAUAUCAAAAAUCCGAGUAAGCAAUAAUCAUCGUUCCUCCAAAAGGAAUGGUUGUCAGUCCUCUUAAUAAAAGGCCAAUUGGGCUUUUCAAUUCUAAUAGACAAGCCUAAUUCAAUCACAAUUUCUCCGCAACCCAUAAAUGUCAGGAUUAUUACAUUUUGGUCUUUCAGACCUUCUAAUACUCAAAACUCUCAAUUUAUAUACAAACUAGAUUUGUCUCAGGUAAUCAUAUGCCUCAUGAAUUCAAAACAACUCCUUAUAUAUGUGUGACCCAUAAGUUAUCUAUUGAGCUGACAUUAUUCAGACUCAGACCAAAUAUGGACACAAACUAAUAUUGGUUUCUAGGAAAACAUCAUAAUCACCUGAUCAGUAGAGUGUUUAGAAACAACUCUAAAGCCUUACUAAUUUCAUGUUUACGUGCAAUACGAUCUUUUCAUCAACUAAUAUCUCUCGAGGCUAAGACACAGAUACAUGUCCAUCUCAAUAAGCCUUCAAUAUGAACUAAUAUCCAUCAAUGAUAUGAAUAAUCUAUCUCAGUAAGCUUUUGAGUGCCUUCCUCUAUGGAAAAUCUAAUUUUAUUUUAUGUAAAAGGUCUAGUAUACUAUAUUCAUGAAUUAAGAGAAAAUAAGGUUUAACAUAGCAAAACAACAUAUAAAUAACACAUAAAUGUCAGAAUACAAUAAGAAAGAAGAGGAGACAAAAACACUGUCUUGGUUUUUUAAUGCACGUCUGUGAAAGAUUUUUUGUUUUCUCUCUAUUUCACUAUUGGAUCGCUCUGAUUUUUAGACUAUUGGUAGAAAACUCAUUUUUAUUUAUUCUGAAUUAUGGCAAUUGUGUUUUGUUCCCCAAAUAAACAGUUAUUUGUGUUAAAUUGUGACUAAUUGUAUGUUGCAUUUUAAUUUAAACAACUCUUAUAAAAACAUCUUUUUCUCUUUUGUAUACCUUUGGAUUGCUGUUAAACUUUGAUAGUAUUUUAGACACAUCCAAUGUUAUAUUUUGGACGGUAGAGAUUUGUGUUUGAUUUUUGUAACAUAAGAUAUAAGCUUACGAGUUUGUUGUAAUAUUAUUUAAUUUUCUGCUAUUGUGUUAUUAUUUUAUUUUGUUGCUUUAGAGAGUUGUGUACCGAUUUGUAGGAUGAAUAAUGUGUACCAUUAUUUUGAAUAUAGUGAAUUGGUUUAUUUGGA